rnacentral:rRNA from 1 species
AUAGCGUAUAUUAAAGUUGUUGCAGUUAAAAAGCUCGUAGUUGGAUUUCUGGUAGGAGCGACCGGUCCGCCCUGUUAAGGGUGUGUACUAGCGUUGUCUCUGGCCAUCCUUGGGGGAACUGCGCGGGGAGACUUGCGUUAGGGAACCCAUCGUUUACUGUGAAAAAAUUAGAGUGUUUAAAGCAGGCUUAUGCCGUUGAAUACAUUAGCAUGGAAUAAUAAGAUAGGACCGCGUGGUCGUCUUGUUGGUUUGCACCGCGAGGUAAUGAUUAAUAGGUACAGUUGGGGGUAUUCGUAUUUAAUUGUCAGAGGUGAAAUUCUUGGAUUUAUGAAAGACGAACUUCUGCGAAAGCAUUUACCAAGGAUGUUUUCAUUAAUCAAGAACGAAAGUUAGGGGAUCGAAGAUGAUUAGAUACCAUCGUAGUCUUAACCAUAAACUAUGCCGACUAGGGAUUGGCGGUCGUUUCUUUUGACCCCGUCAGCACCUUAUGAGAAAUCAAAGUCUUUGGGUUCCGGGGGGAGUAUGGUCGCAGGGCUGAAACUUAAAGGAA